AACGAACGCUGGCGGCAGGCCUAACACAUGCAAGUCGAGCGGUAGAGAGAAGCUUGCUUCUCUUGAGAGCGGCGGACGGGUGAGUAAUGCCUAGGAAUCUGCCUGGUAGUGGGGGAUAACGUUCGGAAACGGACGCUAAUACCGCAUACGUCCUACGGGAGAAAGCAGGGGACCUUCGGGCCUUGCGCUAUCAGAUGAGCCUAGGUCGGAUUAGCUAGUUGGUGGGGUAAUGGCUCACCAAGGCGACGAUCCGUAACUGGUCUGAGAGGAGGAUCAGUCAAACUGGAACUGAGACACGGUCCAGACUCCUACGGAGGGCAGCAGUGGGGAAUAUUGGACAAUGGGCGAAAGCCUGAUCCAGCCAUGCCGCGUGUGUGAAGAAAGUCUUCGGAUUGUAAAGCACUUUAAGUUGGGAGGAAGGGCAGUAAAUUAAUACUUUGCUGUUUUGACGUUACCGACAGAAUAAGCACCGGCUAACUCUGUGCCAGCCGCCGCAGUAA
rnacentral:rRNA from 1 species